rnacentral:rRNA from 1 species
AUGGCGCCGCUAAGGCGGGCGGCGAGCGCGGCGGUGGUGCUGCUGGCCCUCACGGGACUUUUUCUUCUCGUGUUCUCUCCCGCGGACGCAGCAACGGCGGCGGUGGAAGGAGGAGAGCUCAGGAGGAAGCAAUCUGAUGGUGGUUACUCUUACAAUAGUACUCUUGCUCAUAUUCUUGUUGAAUAUGCAUCUGCUGUGUAUACAUCCGACCUAACCUCACUUUUGACAUGGACUUGUCCAAGGUGUGAAGGUCACACGAAGGGUUUUGAGAUGAUAGAGAUCAUUGUAGAUGUAGAGAAAUGUCUACAGGCUUUUGUUGGAGUUGCCCCUGAUCCACGAUCCAUAAUAAUUGCUUUUAGAGGCACCCAAGAACACAGUGCCUCAAAUUGGAUUGAAGAUCUCUUCUGGAAGCAGCUAGAUGUAACUUAUCCAGGCAUGCCAGAUGCAAUGGUCCACCAUGGAUUUUAUUCUGCAUAUUAUAAUACAACUCUCCGGCAUGAGAUCCUGAAAUCUGUUCAGUGGGCAUGGAAGACAUAUGGAAGACUACCCAUAAAUGUUGUAGGUCACUCUAUGGGAGGGGCUUUAGCUUCAUUUUGUGCCCUUGAUCUCUCUGUUAAAUGGGGGUCACACAAAGUUCAGCUCAUAACUUUUGGACAGCCUCGGGUAGGCAAUCCUGCUUUUGCUGAAUACUUCAACGAGCAGGUUCCAAGAACAAUCCGCGUGACCCAUGAAAAUGACAUUGUUCCACAUUUGCCACCAUACUUUUAUUACCUAGGCGAAUGGACAUAUCACCACUUUGCAAGAGAGGUUUGGCUUCGUGAGACCAUAGUAGGAAAUGUGGUUACAAGGAAUGAGACAGUCUGUGAUUGUUCAGGCGAGGACCCAACCUGCAGCAGAUCGGUCUACGGGAGAAGUGUGGCAGAUCAUCUCGAGUAUUAUGGUGUUAACCUACAUGCUGAUUCAAGGGGAACCUGUCAAUUUGUGAUUGGCACAUCCAACUCAGCCUAUGGUGACAUUCUUCAAGUUGAUGGAGCUAUCAUCUUAUCAAGAUAUCCACAGGAGCGAUAUCCUGUGGAAUCUAUCUAA